AUGGCCAGAUCAUGUUGAAAUACCAGUUCCCAUAAAAUCCCUGAAGUUAAGCAAUGGCAAACCUAAUCAGUACUUAGAUGGGUGACCCUUUAGGGAUACCAUGUGAUGUAAG